rnacentral:rRNA from 1 species
UACGAAGGGGGCUAGCGUUGCUCGGAAUCACUGGGCGUAAAGGGUGCGUAGGCGGGUCUUUAAGUCAGGGGUGAGAUCCUGGAGCUCAACUCCAGAACUGCCUUUGAUACUGAAGAUCUUGAGUUCGGGAGAGGUGAGUGGAACUGCGAGUGUAGAGGUGAAAUUCGUAGAUAUUCGCAAGAACACCAGUGGCGAAGGCGGCUCACUGGCCCGAUACUGACGCUGAGGCACGAAAGCGUGGGGAGCAAACAGGG